rnacentral:rRNA from 1 species
UUGAAAGGGAAACGAUUGAAGUCAGUCGUACCUGUGGGUAAUCAGCCUUUUGGGUGUGAUUUUGUGGAGUGUGAGGAGUUAAACGCCUUCAUGCCUGCAUAUUCGUGCACUUUGGGUGUAUUUACCCGUGUGGUAAGUUAACAUCAAUUUCGGUGAUCAUAAAAUGGCUGGAGGAAUGUAGUUUCGAUCUUGUAUUGAAGUGUUAUAGCCUUCGGUAGAUGUGAUGAUCGGGAUUGAGGAUUGCAACGGAUACNUUCGGGGCUACCUGUCUGAUCUCUGAUCGUUGCUCUGGUGCCGAAAGCUUGCUUACGGUUAUCAAAGUCGAUGGUCAAUAGGUUAGAACGGGUUAAAUNCGUUAAGGAUGUUGACGUA